rnacentral:lncRNA from 1 species
GUGGCGAAUGCCGCAGACUGAUGUUUUUUUUUUCUUUUCCAGUUAUAUAAAUAUGUUUAUUCAAUGGAUUUGAUUAUGUUGUGUUAUGCUUGUUUCGCUUAAUUCCUCGGUUCUGUUGGUAUAUUCAAGUCCUUCAAAUCUUCAAUGAUAUUUUGGUUUAUAAUUACAUAUAUAUGUUAUUUAUCACAGGAUUCUGAUUUGAUGUCUUGUAAUUUAUAACUUUGAUGGCACAGAAAUUUGAAAUAGUCAUUGAGGAUCAAGCUGGAAAACAGUUCAAAUGUAGGAUCAAUUGAGGAAGCCGAAAUGACAAAUCAAUGGAUUGAUUUAUUUAGGGAUUUGAUAUAUGAAUACUUGAUUUGCUCGGCAUUGUAAAGACAUCCACAACUUUCUCUUUUUGUUAUGAGCAUUUUAAGAUUCCCUUCAUUAAGUGGCUACAAACCUUUUUGUGAA